rnacentral:rRNA from 1 species
UUGACCUCAAAUCANGUAGGACUACCCGCUGAACUUAAGCAUAUCAAUAAGCGGAGGANAAGAAACUAACAAGGAUUCCCCUAGUAACUGCGAGUGAAGUGGGAAAAGCUCAAAUUUAAAAUCUGACAGUCUUUGACUGUCUGAGUUGUAACCUANAGAAGUGCUACCUGUGCUGGACCAUGUAUAAGUCUCCUGGAAUGGAGUGUC